AUGCUCACUUUGGUAGCACAUAUACUAAAAUUGCCAUGAUACAGAGAUUAGCAUGGCCUCUGUGUUAGGAUGACAUGCAAACUUGUGAAGUGUUCCCUGUUAAA